UACGUAGGGUGCGAGCGUUGUCCGGAAUUAUUGGGCGUAAAGAGCUCGUAGGCGGCCUGUCGCGUCGGUUGUGAAAGCCCGGGGCUUAACCCCGGGUCUGCAGUCGAUACGGGCAGGCUAGAGUUCGGUAGGGGAGAUCGGAAUUCCUGGUGUAGCGGUGAAAUGACGCAGAUAUCAGGAGGAACACCGGUGGCGAAGGCGGAUCUCUGGGCCGAUACUGACGCUGAGGAGCGAAAGCGUGGGGAGCGAACAGG
rnacentral:rRNA from 1 species